UACGAAGGGGGCUAGCGUUGCUCGGAUUGACUGGGCGUAAAGGGCGCGUAGGCGGUUCGUACAGUCAGACGUGAAAUUCCUGGGCUCAACCUGGGGGCUGCGUUUGAUACGUGCGGACUUGAGUGCGGAAGAGGGUCGUGGAAUUCCCAGUGUAGAGGUGAAAUGCGUAGAUAUCGGGAGGAACACCAGUGGCGAAGGCGACUACCUGGCCUGUUCUUGACGCUGAGGCGCGAAAGCUAGGGGAGCAAACGGG
rnacentral:rRNA from 1 species